UACGUAGGGUGCAGGCGUUAAUCGGAAUUACUGGGCGUAAAGCGUGCGCAGGCGGUUUGCUAAGACAGGUGUGAAAUCCCUGGGCUCAACCUAGGAACUGCGUUUGAAACUACAAGGCUAGAGUGUAGCAGAGGGGGGGUAGAAUUCCACGUGUAGCAGUGAAAUGCGUAGAGAUGUGGAGGAAUACCAAUGGCGAAGGCAGCCCCCCUGGGUUAACACUGACGCUCAUGCACGAAAGACGUGGGGACAAACGAGG
rnacentral:rRNA from 1 species